rnacentral:rRNA from 1 species
UACGUAGGGGGCAGGCGUUAUCCGGAUUCACUGGGUGUAAAGGGAGAGUAGGCGGCAAGGUAAGCGAUAUGUGAAAGCCUUAGGCUUAACCUGAGGAUUGCAUAACGAACUAUCUAGCUAGAGUACAGGAGAGGAAAGCGGAAUUCCUAGUGUAGCGGUGAAAUGCGUAGAUAUUAGGAAGAACACCAGUGGCGAAGGCGGCUUUCUGGACUGAAACUGACGCUGAGGCUCGAAAGCGUGGGGAGCGAACAGG